CUUCGAUAAUGGCAAACCCUUCGAAAGUUGGGGACGCAAAGCUACGGGCCUAAGGAGAGUUUCUUCUACGGUCGCCGGGUUAUCGAA
rnacentral:ncRNA from 1 species